AUUGAACGCUGGCGGCAGGCCUAACACAUGCAAGUCGAACGAGUGGCGGACGGGUGAGUAAUGUCUGGGAAACUGCCUGAUGGAGGGGGAUAACUACUGGAAACGGUAGCUAAUACCGCAUACCAUCAGAUGUGCCCAGAUGGGAUUAGCUAGUUGGUGGGGUAACGGCUCACCAAGCGGACGAUCCCUAGCUGGGCGGAGAGGAUGACCGGCCACACUGGGACUGAGACACGGACCAGACUCCUACGGGAGGCAGCAGUGGGGAAUAUUGCGCAAUGGGCGCAAGCCUGAUGCAGCCAUGCCGCGUGUAUGAAGAAGGCCUUCGGGUUGUAAAGUACUUUCGGUGGCGAGGCGUUACCUGCAGAAGAAGCACCGGCUAACUCCGUGCCAGCAGCCGCGGUAAUUC
rnacentral:rRNA from 1 species